UAGUCCACGCCGUAAACCAUGCAGAUUAGGAAGUAGCCUAUUAUGUUACUUUCGCAGCUAACGCGUUAAAUCUGCCGCCUGGGAAGUACGGCCGCAAGGCUAAAACUCAAAGGAAUUGGCGGGGAUCCGCACAAGCAGUGGAGCGCCUUCUUUAAUUCGAUGAUAAGCGAAGGACCUUACCUGGGUUUGACAUGCUACUGCACGCUCUCCGAAAAGAGAGCAGCCUUCGAGGGUGUAGCACAGGUGUUGCACGGCUGUCGUCAGCUCGAGUCGUGAGAUGUUCGGUUAAGUCCGUUAUCGAGCGCAACCCCUACCGUAUGUUGUAUCACUCUUACGGAACUGCCCCGGCAACGGGGAGGAAGGAGGGGACGACGGUCAAAGUCAGCGUGGCCCUUAUGUCCAGGGCGAGAAAGGCGCUACAAUGGCACGUACAAUGGGCAGCAACAUAGCGAUAUGAAGCCAAUCCCAAAAAGCGUGUCCCAGUCCGGAUUGGAGUCUGCAACUCGACU
rnacentral:rRNA from 1 species